rnacentral:ncRNA from 1 species
CACGGGAAGGAUUGACAGAUUGAGAGCUCUUUCUUGAUUCUGUGGGUGGUGGUGCAUGGCCGUUCUUAGUUGGUGGGUUGCCUUGUCAGGUUGAUUCCGGUAACGAACGAGACCUCAGCCUGCUAAAUAGUCAGCAUCGCACCUGCGGUGCGCAGACUUCUUAGAGGGACUAUUGGCGUUCAGCCAAUGGAAGUAUGAGGCGAUAACAGGUCUGNNNNNNNNN